rnacentral:rRNA from 1 species
UACGGGGGGUGCGAGCGUUGUCCGGAAUCACUGGGCGUAAAGGGCGCGUAGGUGGCUCUGUAAGUUUGCGGUGAAAUCCCGGGGCUCAACCCCGGGUCUGCCGUGGAUACUGCAAGGCUUGAGUACUGUAGAGGCAGGUAGAAUAUCGGGUGUAGCGGUGGAAUGCGUAGAGAUGAGAUAGAAGACCGGUGGCGAAGGAAGCCUGCUGGGCAGUAACUGACACUGAGGCGCGACAGCGUGGGGAGCAAACAGG